rnacentral:rRNA from 1 species
AUAUCAAUAAGCGGAGGAAAAGAAACCAACAGGGAUUGCCUCAGUAACGGCGAGUGAAGCGGCAACAGCUCAAAUUUGAAAUCUGGCUCUUUCGGGGUCCGAGUUGUAAUUUGUAGAAGGAUGCUUCGGCGUCGGCUCCGGUCUAAGUUCCUUGGAACAGGACGUCAUAGAGGGUGAGAAUCCCGUAUGUGACUGCGGUUGCCUUCGCCAUGUGAAGCUCUUUCGACGAGUCGAGUUGUUUGGGAAUGCAGCUCUAAAAUGGGUGGUAAAUUUCAUUCUAAAGCUAAAUAUGGCCAGAGACCGAUAGCGCAUAAGUAGAGUGAUCGAAAGAUGAAAAGCACUUUGGAAAGAGAGUCAAACAGUAC